CCUAGAUGAAAUUGAAAAAAUGAUGAAUGCCUCCUGGUGGGGACAUGGAGGUACAAGUAACAAAGGGUUUCAUUGGUUAUCUUGGGAAAAGUUAUCGGUGCACAAAAACCAUGGAAGUAUGGAUUUCAAAGAUUUGGUAGCUUUUAAUGUUGCAAUGCUUGGAAAAACGGGCUGGAAACUACAAACUGAUUCAGAUAGUUUAGUUUCAAGAAUUUUUAAAGUCGAGUAUUACCCUAAUAGUAGCUACCUGGAGUCGAAGUGGGACAUAAUCCAAGCUUUGUUUGGCGUAGCAUUUUCAGUGCCAAGGUGGUUGUUAGACAAGGUUCCCGUUGGAAAAUUGGGUAAUAAUAAGACUUGUUUUGGCCAGUGCGCAUACGCAUGAGCUGGAUUAAUCGCCCAUUAUUAAUGAGUCGGAAACCGGUACGAAAGCCAAAACAAUAAAAUAAUAAGACUUGCUAAGCUAAUGUACAGUUUUUUAAGUGAAUUUUCUGUGAUAAGAACAUCCUAAUGUGAAGCGUGGGAGUUAUUCAGGCUUGGGAAGUCCAAAAUAUUAAACUUUUUUUUUUUUUUAUUGAAUGUAAGUUAAGGUUAAGCUUUAUCUUGAUUGAUUUUAUUAUUAUUUUUGAACUCUCCAAAAAAAAAAUGGUUGAAUUAGUGUAUUGGGGGUUAUCACAAAAUUUGUAUAAGAUGUUUUUAGAAGUACACCCAAUAAAAUUGUCAUUGUUUAGAGUUUUUAAAAUGAAUGAAGUCAAAUUCAGG
rnacentral:lncRNA from 1 species